AGCCCACUAGCUAGCUCUACAACCUAAAUGCAACAACCCAAUAUAAAUAAACCCUAAUAACCUACAGUUUCUAGAACCAAACCAUUUUUCCACCCUAGUAUGGGCGACAGAAAAGGACACAAGAAGCAACAGCAACUAGUACCGCAAGGGAACGCUGAAAGAGAAAUGAAACAAUUCAGUGAAGCACACAGAAGCAGAGCUUAGCUCUCGUACCUUUUGCAUCAUGAUUUAGCAAGAAAAGAUCAAGCAAAAAGAGUUUUAGUUUGACUCCCCGAAGCCAAGUGAGCUACUCCAAGACAGCCUGUUAGGGCACACCCGUCUCUGUGGCAAAAGAGUGGGACGAGCUUUGAGUAGAGGUGACAGACCUACCGAACUUGGCUAUAGCUGGUUGUCCAGGACAUGAACAGGAGUUCAGCCUGUACUCUUCUUCUCCCACAUACCGGUUAUUUUUAAAGCCUUCAAGAAGACUACAGAGUUAGUCAAAGGGGGUACAGCUCCUUUGAAAAAGACACAACUUUAGCAGAAGGGUUAAGAUCACAACAACCAUAGGGAAUGUGUUCUAGUUGGCCUAAGAGCAGCCACCCAUGUAGAAAGCGUUAAAGCUCAGACACCCCUCCCGCCCUCUCAUCCAGACAUACUAAUCUUACCCCCCUACCUCUUACUGGACCUUUCCAUACCCCUAUGGAAGAGAUAAUGCUAAUAUGAGUAAUAAGAGACCUGGAAUCUCUCCUUGCAUAAGUGUACAUCGGAACGAACCACCACCGAAAAUUAACGGCCCCAACAAGAGGGUAUUGAAACAUUAUGGCCAAGCCACUAGUAAAGCAUCCAAGCUCCCGCCGUUAACCUUACACCAGAAUGCAUACAAGGAAAGACUAAAAGAAAGAGAAGGAACUCGGCA
rnacentral:rRNA from 1 species